GGCAGCGGCGUAUCGGGAUUUUUGCUGUUGUAGUCGGCAAUCAACCGCAGCACCCGAUUGUUCCAGUUGAUCAGCUGCUCC
rnacentral:tRNA from 1 species